rnacentral:sRNA from 1 species
GCCAGGUGCAGUGGUGCACACCUGUAAUCCCAGUACCUUGGAAGUCUGAGGCAGGAGAAUCCCAAGUUCCAGGCCAGCCUCUGCAACUUAAUGAAACCCUGUCUCAUU